rnacentral:rRNA from 1 species
GACGAACGCUGGCGGCGUGCUUAACACAUGCAAGUCGAACGAAGUGGCGCACGGGUGAGUAACGCGUAAUCAACCUGCCGUUCAGGGGGGGACAACAGUUGGAAACGACUGCUAAUACCGCAAACUGAAGGAGGGGAGCGCGUCGGAUUAGCUAGUUGGAGUGGCAACGGCCCACCAAGGCGAUGCUCAGUAGCCCGGCUUAGUUGGUGAACCGCCACAUUUGGACUGAGACGCGGGCCAGGCGCCUACGGGAGGCAGCAGUGGGGAAACUUCCGCAAUGGACGAGAGUCUGACGGAGCAACGCCGGGUGAGUGGUGACGGCCUUCGGGUUGGAAAGCUCUGUUAAGCGGGGCGCGGUACCGGAAUAGAAAGCCACGGCUAACUACGUGCCAGCAGCCGCGGGAAUAC